ensembl:lncRNA
AUGCUAUUUAGGGAAGAAUUAGCCUCCAUUAUUUGUUAGCUAAAUGCUAAAGAAGCAUAUUCCAGACACCAAACAUGUCUUGGCUGAAUAAAUACAUUUGGGGCAAGGCCUCACUGGCCAAUGAGGGUCUGCAGAUAGAUAGAGUAAGAUCACAGAGAGGAAAGAGAGCUCUAGUCACUAGCCAGUCAAUAUGCAUAGUCCACUUUAACCUAUUAUACCAAGCCACCAUAUUGGCAUAUACUGUAUAUAUUCAGCAGAAGCUCCAGUGUUAGAUUUGAUGGUGUUAUUUCACCACAAGAGAGAGCAGAAGAAGCAGGUCCUGAUGAUGAAAGCAAAUAAAGAGGAACAGGAGGGAUUGCGUAAGAGAGUGAGAGAAUGCAGUCUUGUGACACUUCACACUCGUUUUGUUCUUUUGAGAAGGACUUUUCCCAUUAUUGUACAUUGUGGUUAGACAUUUGAGCUGGAGCUGGAAAUCAGUGGUUGACUGUAUGGUUAGAAUGUUAUUUAGGGUCAACAGCAGGACAUAUGUCUUUUUAGUUCUAGCGAGGCGACAGGUACUAGCGCAAUGUAAAUUUUGACACAACUUCCGGCUGUCACUUCUUUUGAGGAAGACAGAGAGUGCUUGUCCAGAGCUUCUUUUUGUCAGCUUGUGGUCAGAAGAAUUUGUCAGUUCUUCUGAGCAAAGAUACAGUGAGAAGGAUUGAUCUCUCUGAGGAAAAGCCACCACUUGCGGCAACAACAUGUUUGCAGUACACUUGGGAAUUUACUGCAUUUUUCUGCUGUGCUGCAGUAACAAGAGUCAAGCCAAUGAUCUUGUGGUCAACAACAGAACUAGCGUGGCACUGGCAAAUGAAACACUCCACUUCCACAUCAGGGUCACUGUUCCUGCCAACAGCAGCGGAACCAAAGUUUUUUGCUCCAGAAAUGGGCAUGAAGUUUGGAAGGAAUACCUUCACAGUGCACAAUCUGGCAUUAAAGUUGAGUUGUGGGCUAACAUCACCAUAAAUAACAGCUCAAGCUCUGGAGAAUACAUCUUCCAGUACCUAGAAAAGAAAGUCUACUGCGUGGCCCUUGUACGAGACGUGGGUUAUAUCGAGCCAAAUGAGUCUUUAGAGGCUGAUGUCAUUGCUUUGCUGGUUGUCACAACUAUUUUACUCAUCUUCAGCAUCGUUGGAUCAAUUUACAUCUUCAAAUGGCAGAAGGAUCAUCCCAAGUCAGAGAAGGGUGGAGACGGAGUGAAAGUCAAAAACAGACAGAGCAACGUAGGCGUGACGGCUCAGGGUCUAAACUCUGAAUCAGUUUACACGGCCCUUGAACCCAGGCCGGUCUCUAUUUAUGACGUGCUGAAUGUUGACCAAGUCAGAAGGGAAAGUACAAAGCGCACAUCAGAGGAAACGGCCAAGACGUCUCAGGUGGAGGAAGGAAUUUUUGAAUCUGUCUAUGAAAACCUGUGA